UAUGUUUGAGUUAGAGAGCAGAGAAUGGUCAUGUAUUGAAUGCAAUGUGUUGUAUUUUCUCCAUUACAAAAUGACAAGAGUGCUCUUUAUAGGUGAAGGAAAUCAUAACAAGUACAAAGUACAUUUAUUAAAAGGGCAUGAGGUUGGCACAACCAAUCAAUGCCAUUGUGCGGGCUUGAACUAGACUAGUAGGCUAAGUCAGCUUUAAUCAUGUGCCUUUUGAACUUCCCUCUAGUGUGUUGUAGUUAUUGAUUUCUACUGCCUCGAGGUCGAUCGUUGAGAACCCCCGGGUCGAACCUCAAGCUGAACUUUGGGCCUUCUGGGGGCGGUCUUUUCGAGGACCACUGAUCUUUAUUGUAUACAUUAUAUAAAAAUCUAGAUCUAAAUACACAUAUAUUUUGUGUGAUUACAAAUCAUUAAAUAAAGAUGAAUUGUUUCCAAAUAUGAAAAUGAGUUAUUAUGUUUGACAUAUACUAAAAAGAAAAUAGAUUCACAUAAAUUGAGAGGGGGGAAGAAAGUAAUAUGUUUGUGUGAAGAGGGAAGAAAGGAAGCGGGGAUG
rnacentral:lncRNA from 1 species